GAUUAGUGACAGAGUGAGUGAGGGGGUGACUAGUGACAGAGUGAGGGAGCAGGUGACAAAGUGACAGAGAGAGGGAUGGGGUGACUAGUGACAGUCAUCCCCUCCCUCACUCUGUCACUAGUCACUCCCUCCCUCUGUCACUAGUCACUCCCUCCCUCUGUCACCAAUCAUCCCC